rnacentral:rRNA from 1 species
UACAGAGGUCUCAAGCGUUUGUUCGGAUUCAUUGGGCGUAAAGGGUGCGUAGGUGGCGCUGUAAGUCAGGUGUGAAAUUUCGGAGCUUAACUCCGAAACUGCAUUUGAUACUGCGGUGCUCGAGGACUGGAGAGGAGACUGGAAUUUACGGUGUAGCGGUGAAAUGCGUAGAUAUCGUAAGGAAGACCAGUGGCGAAGGCGGGUCUCUGGACAGUUCCUGACGCUGAGGCACGGAAGGUCAGGGGGAGCAAAACGGGG